CAGGUUCUUUGAAACUUUGUGCUAAUUAUAUGAUAAUUAUAUGAUGUUUGGUUCUUGGUUUCUUGUUGCAGAGUCCAGAUGGUGAUGUUAUAGACUGUGUUCCGUCUCAUCUUCAACCUGCUUUUGAUCAUCCUCAGCUUAAAGGGCAGAGACCAUUGGUAGAAAAACAAAAAUUCUGCUUGUUUUUAAUGAAUAAAGUUACAAGACAUCCUUAGUUAUAUGUGAAACAGACAUUAACAAGAACAUCGUUUUGACAGAAACCGGCUGUGAGGCCAAAAGGACAUAACUUAACAGAAGCAGUCUCUGAAAGCUUCCAGCUAUGGAGAGAUACAGGUGAAUCAUGUCCUAAAGGGACAGUUCCAAUUAGAAGAACAACUGAACAAGACAUUCUUAGAGCAAGUUCUGUUAGAAGAUAUGGAAGAAUAAGAAGACAUGUACGGAGAGAUUCGACCGGUUAUGGCCAUGAGGUUAGUAUAUUCUCAAGAUUCAAGACCGAAAAACGAGUAAAACCGGUGCCUUAGUCAUAGGGGAAAAAAAGAAUCUGUGUAGUUUAGACAAGUUACCUGUUUUUCACCCUCAUUGCAGCAUGCAGUUGUCUUUGAGAAUGGUGAUCAAUAUUAUGGAGCAAGGGCAAGUUUAAGCGUAUGGGCGCCUCGUGUGACGAAUGAAUACGAGUUUAGCUUGUCACAGAUAUGGA
rnacentral:lncRNA from 1 species